AUUGAACGCUGGCGGCAGGCCUAACACAUGCAAGUCGAACGAGUGGCGGACGGGUGAGUAAUGUCUGGGAAACUGCCUGAUGGAGGGGGAUAACUACUGGAAACGGUAGCUAAUACCGCAUACCAUCAGAUGUGCCCAGAUGGGAUUAGCUAGUGGGUGGGGUAACGGCUCACCAAGGCGACGAUCCCUAGCUGGUCUGAGAGGAUGACCCGCCACAAUGGAACUGAGUCCCGUUCCAGCCUCUUACGGGAGGAAGCAGUGGGGAAUAGUUCACAAGGGGCGAAAGCCGGAUGCAGCCAUGCCGCGGGUAUGAAGAAGGCCUUCGGGUUGUAAAGUACUUUCAGCGGGGAGGCGUUACCCGCAGAAGAAGCCCCGGCUAACUCCGUGCCAGCAGCCGCGGUAAUAC
rnacentral:rRNA from 1 species